rnacentral:rRNA from 1 species
GAUGAACGCUAGCUACAGGCUUAACACAUGCAAGUCGAGGGGCAGCAUGGAAGAAGCUUGCUUCUUCUGAUGGCGACCGGCGCACGGGUGCGUAACGCGUAUCAAACCUGCCUCAUACUCGGGGAUAGCCUUGCGAAAGUAAGAUUAAUACCCGAUGUUGUUAUGUUGCCGCAUGGUGAUAUAACCAAAGAUUUAUCGGUAUGAGAUGGUGAUGCGUCCGAUUAGGUAGUAGGCGGGGUAACGGCCCACCUAGCCUUCGAUCGGUAGGGGUUCUGAGAGGAAGGUCCCCCACACUGGAACUGAGACACGGUCCAGACUCCUACGGGAGGCAGCAGUGAGGAAUAUUGGUCAAUGGACGCAAGUCUGAACCAGCCAAGUAGCGUGCAGGAUGACGGCCCUCCGGGUUGUAAACUGCUUUUAGUUGGGAAUAAAAAAGAGGACGUGUCCUCUAUUGUAUGUACCUUCAGAAAAAGGACCGGCUAAUUCCGUGCCAGCAGCCGCGGUAAUACGGAAGGUCCAGGCGUUAUCCGGAUUUAUUGGGUUUAAAGGGAGCGUAGGCGGAUUAUUAAGUCAGUGGUGAAAGACGGUGGCUCAACCAUCGUUAGCCAUUGAAACUGGUAGUCUUGAGUGCAGACAGGGAUGCUGGAACUCGUGGUGUAGCGGUGAAAUGCUUAGAUAUCACGAUGAACUCCGAUCGCGAAGGCAGGUGUCCGGGCUGCAACUGACGCUGAGGCUCGAAAGUGUGGGGUAUCAAACAGG